rnacentral:rRNA from 1 species
CUACGGGUGGCAGCAGUGAGGAAUAUUGCACAAUGGGGGGAACCCUGAUGCAGCAACGCCGCGUGGAGGAUGACGCAUUUCGGUGUGUAAACUCCUUUUAUAUGUCAAGAAAAUGACGGUAGCAUAUGAAUAAGCACCGGCUAACUCCGUGCCAGCAGCCGCGGUAAUACGGAGGGUGCAAGCGUUACUCGGAAUCACUGGGCGUAAAGGACGCGUAGGCGGGUUGGAAAGUCAGGUGUGAAAUCCUACAGCUUAACUGUAGAACUGCACUUGAAACUCUCAACCUAGAGUAUGGGAGGGGCAGAUGGAAUUAGUGGUGUAGGGGUAAAAUCCGUAGAUAUCACUAGGAAUACCUAAAGCGAAGGCGAUCUGCUGGAACAUUACUGACGCUAAGGCGUGAAAGCGUGGGGAGCAAACAGGAUUAGAUACCCUCGUAGUC